CCUACGGGUGGCAGCAGUGAGGAAUAUUGGUCAAUGGUCGUGAGCCUGAACCAGCCAAGUAGCGUGAAGGAUGACGGCCCUACGGGUUGUAAACUUCUUUUAUAAGGGAAUAAAGUGCGGCACGUGUGCCGUUUUGUAUGUACUGUAUGAAUAAGGAUCGGCUAACUCCGUGCCAGCAGCCGCGGUAAUACGGAGGAUCCGAGCGUUAUCCGGAUUUAUUGGGUUUAAAGGGAGCGUAGAUGGGUUGUUAAGUCAGUCGUGAAAGGUCGGGGCUCAACCGUAGAAUUGCAGUUGAUACUGGCAGUCUUGAGUUCAGGUGAGGUAGGCGGAAUGCGUGGUGUAGCGGUGAAAUGCGUAGAUAUCACGAAGAACUCCGAGUGCGAAGGCAGCUUACUGCACUGCCACUGACGUUGAUGCUCGAAAGUGUGGGUAUCGAACAGGAUUAGAUACCCUUGUAGUC
rnacentral:rRNA from 1 species